rnacentral:rRNA from 1 species
UGGCUGCAUGGUCAGUGCAAUAAGUUGAGGCGCUUGGAGAGUAGGCGUGCGUCUGAUUAGGUAGUUGGUAGGGUAACGGCCUACCAAGCCGACGAUCAGGUAGGGGGCGUGAGAGCGUGGCCCCCCACACGGGUACUGAGACACGGACCCGACUCCUACGGGAGGCAGCAGUAAGGAAUAUUGGACAAUGGACGAAAGUCUGAUCCAGCCAUCCCGCGUGCAGGAUGAAUGCCCUAUGGGUUGUAAACUGCUUUUGGAAGGGAAGAAACGCCUGGAUUUAUCCGGGCCUGACGGUACCUUCAGAAUAAGCACCGGCUAACUCCGUG